ACCACCGCCACCACCACCGAUCGAGCUCCGAGGCCGCCGAUCCGUCCACCGGUGCCGGAGACAACGCCAUUGUGCUGCUGCCGCCUGGAGCGUCGGCUUCCAAGGAGGAUUUGUCCCUAUAUGUUCGCGACCUCUUCACUCGCCUCCAGAUCGGCGGCGUGGAGUUCAAGAGGAAGGCUCUCGACUCCCUCCUCAACCUCUUCGCCACCGGCGGCGGCGGCGGUGGCGUCGGAGAAGGGGACGGCGUCGCCACCAGGAUUGCUGCUCUGGUGGCCAGGGAAGGUGAUGUCGCCUGCCUCAUUCACCUUAUGGAGGCAUCCUGUGAGCAGCACGCCGCCCGCGAGCAGGCCGCCGCCGCCGUCUGCUUCCUCGCCUCUGGUUCUGAGAUCUCCAGAAAGGCCGUCUUCGAGGAGGGGGGCCUCGGCCCCUUGCUCCGCCUCUUGGAAACGGGGUCCGCUCCUCUGAAGGAGAAGGCCGCCGCCGC
rnacentral:lncRNA from 1 species